GAUGUUAUUUUAAUGGACAAAAAUUGACAUUUUUUUUUUUUUUUUUUUUUUUUUGAAUUUUACCCCUUUUUUCUCCCCAAUUUCGUAGCAUAGAUUAGAGCAUAGAUUAAGAAAUUAUACACUUUCUGGAGCACUAGUCAUUGUCAUGUCCCAUCUCUUUGAUCUGACAAAAAUGUUCCCUUUAUUCUUUUAUGAUACAGCAUCUUUUCUUUGCCACUCUAACCUCUAAAGUCUGUUGGUCUCCUACCUUUUUGGGGGCACUUCCUUAUCUAAUCUGAUGCACAUGGCUUUUUAUUCGGAUAACUUGAAAAUAAAGUGCUAGUAUUGAACUCUUUUCCUACAGAUACAGAUAUCCUACAAAUAUUAAUCAAGAGCUUGAUUGUCGCUGAGCCUACACACACUGUUGUGUGUUUGCAUAAGAAGCCAAUCAGAUCCAACCAUAACACCAUCAGCCAACACUGAAUCAUCCACCUGUUCCAGAAGGGCCUGCGUCUCCAUGACAACCUGUCCCGGUUGGGGGCCCUGGAGUCAUCAGUGUGUGUGUGUACCCCGUGUUCUUCUUGGACAUGCGCACUGGGGCCGUGCGCUGGAGAUUCCUCCUGCAGAUCAGUGGGCUAACUUGGGUAUCCUGAUACAGGGUUUAUAGUAGCACAUACAGUUACCUAGCCUGGGUACCAGUCUGUUUUGCUAACAUUCCACUCCUUGUACUCUGUGUCAUACGCCAAAGAUGUUUAGCAUGACAGGAACUGCAAGGAGUGGAAAGAUGGCAAAACAGACUGGUACCCAGGCUAAACAUUAUCAGGUAUUUUAGAAAUGAUAUGGUUACAUGGUAAUUACACUGUAAUAACCUAUGAAUUGAUUAUUUGGAAUUGUCCUUUGCCCGUACUUUUCUUUUUCUGUAAGAAACUCAAUAUGUUAUGAAAGGGACUAGUUGGUAUCUAGAAACGUUAAUAGCAACAAGAUGCACCAACAGAACUGGAAAAUGAGUGGUCGGUACUCACAGAUUGGUUUGAAAUCAUAUUGAUGUGUUCUUCUACCUGGCCCUGCAGUGUCUGGAAGACCUCCACCAUAGCCUCCAGGCCAUGGGCACCAGGCUGUAUGUGCUCCAGGGGCCCUACCAGGGGACAGUGAUGCAUCCGGUGGCCUAGUGGGGCACCACCCAGCUCAGCAUGGACACUGAGAUAGAGCCCCACAACACCCAGCUGGACCAGCAGCACUGCAUCAUGGCCAGAGAGCAGGGACUCAAAAUACAUGCCACCGUGGCACACACACUCUAUUAUGUCAAGAGGUGGGUCACAGUGGAUAUUGAAGGCUAACGGAAGGGAUCACAUCUGACAUACAAGAAGUUUCUACACGUCCUGUCCAAUCUGGGGGAGCCAGACAAACCUGCCAGAGAGAUCACAGCUCAGGACUUCCAAGGACCAUGCCUCAGGACUACCUGGCCUGAUGACUCCUUGCUGUCCCCAGUCCACCUGG